CGAAUCUUUUAUGAAUUUGCUCAGAUGUACGUCUACUUUACACUGUUUUUAGUCUCCAUCUAUGUUAAUAAGAACACAAAUCCACAAUAUCCAAGUGAAGAACGUUCAAUUCGUCCAUCCUCCUCGCUAAUAAGAUUUCUAUCAAAGCCACUGGAAAUCAAAGCCACUGGAAAGCUGGCUUCCGACCCCUCAUAUACUCAACCCGAACUUUCCAUGCCGCAUUUUUCUUAGUCCAGUCAGACUAUGCCGCUCUUUCCUCUGUCCGACCUUUCCAUGCAAGCUCCAGUGUAGGUCCACUCGGAGGAUCAAGAAACCUACUUUCUUGUUGUUAGAACACAAAUACAAGUGCGGAAUCCUUGUAAAUAUGCAACCAAAGAAAAGUAUAAAACACACACGUAACCAAAGAUUCACUUAUCUUGAUUAAACGGAAGAGAACACUUACAACACAUACACACAGUGUUUACAGACUCACCAAGCUCUCUUACAUGUUCUGCAUAACACAACUGUCUUAUAUAGACCUCCCAGCCCAGUAACAUCACGAAGAAUGUUACUGGGCCCACGAACAACCAAAGCCCACGAAGAACUAGGUUCUUCGUGAACUAUCACUACGAAGAACCAACAUGUGCAUAAAGAAGGGUCUUCGUGAAGGUCCAAUCCCACGAAGAAUAGGUUCUUCGUGUGAGGCUGCAAACAGCAAAAACAUGACAGUCACUUGUAUAGAAACAGAAAGAUAAAGCCAAACAACUUGCAGUCAUGCAAACAUGUACUGCAUAACAUAUCAAAACACUAUAACUGUCGUACCAAGUCAAGAUAGGAGGAUAUCUUGACUUGGUCGACUCGACCAAAACAUAUAGACUCGAUAAUACGAAAAGACCGUUCAUUACAUUACAACGCAAACAUAAUAAGAACAAGCGACAUACACAAAAAAGUGCAUCAACAAACUCCCCCUUGCCUGUUGCUUUGUCUUCGGUAUUUUGCCCUAGAACAUACGUAUGAAAACCACCUUUCUAUGUUGGAUAAUCGUUCAUGUGAUUUAGCUUGGGGGGACGAUUGUUGCUUCCCGUUUCACUCUCGCUUAAGAGAAGAUUUUGAAUGUUGUGAUUUUGAUUUGCGACACAUGUCCAAUGAUUUGCGGUAAUUUCUUACUUGGGCAUUAAUCCUUUGAACCAUUGUGAAAGAUCUUGGCUUGUACUUGAGUUAUCACUCCAAUCCAAGGAUUUGAGCUCAUUAUGAAUGGUUAUUUUAAGAUAAGUACUUAAAAAUGUGGAGUAGUUAACAAUGAGAGAAAUAAAAACCUUCUAUGAAAAUUGUCUGACACUUGGAGUCAUGAAGAACUGACUUACACGAAGAACCUAUUCACAAAGAAUAGACUCACGACGAACCUAUUUCAACAAAAAACCCGGGGUC